UACGUAGGGUGCGAGCGUUUAAUCGGAAUUACUGGGCGUAAAGCGUGCGCAGGCGGCUUCGCAAGUCAGGCGUGAAAUCCCCGGGCUUAACCUGGGAAUGGCGUCUGAAACUACGGAGCUGGAGUGUGGCAGAGGGAGGUAGAAUUCCACGUGUAGCGGUGAAAUGCGUAGAUAUGUGGAGGAAUACCGAUGGCGAAGGCAGCCUCCUGGGCCAACACUGACGCUCAUGCACGAAAGCGUGGGGAGCAAACAGG
rnacentral:rRNA from 1 species